rnacentral:rRNA from 1 species
UGGAUCCAGACUUUGAUUAUGGCUCAGGACGAACGCUGGCGGCGUGCCUAACACAUGCAAGUCGAACGGAGAAUUCUAUUUCGGUAGAAUUCUUAGUGGCGAACGGGUGAGUAACGCGUAGGCAACCUGCCCUUUAGACGGGGACAACAUUCCGAAAGGAGUGCUAAUACCGGAUGUGAUCAUCUUGCCGCAUGGCAGGAUGAAGAAAGAUGGCCUCUACAAGUAAGCUAUCGCUAAAGGAUGGGCCUGCGUCUGAUUAGCUAGUUGGUAGUGUAACGGACUACCAAGGCGAUGAUCAGUAGCCGGUCUGAGAGGAUGAACGGCCACAUUGGGACUGAGACACGGCCCAAACUCCUACGGGAGGCAGCAGUGGGGAAUCUUCCGCAAUGGACGAAAGUCUGACGGAGCAACGCCGCGUGAGUGAUGAAGGAUUUCGGUCUGUAAAGCUCUGUUGUUUAUGACGAACGUGCAGUGUGUGAACAAUGCAUUGCAAUGACGGUAGUAAACGAGGAAGCCACGGCUAACUACGUGCCAGCAGCCGCGGUAAUACGUAGGUGGCGAGCGUUGUCCGGAAUUAUUGGGCGUAAAGAGCAUGUAGGCGGCUUAAUAAGUCGAGCGUGAAAAUGCGGGGCUCAACCCCGUAUGGCGCUGGAAACUGUUAGGCUUGAGUGCAGGAGAGGAAAGGGGAAUUCCCAGUGUAGCGGUGAAAUGCGUAGAUAUUGGGAGGAACACCAGUGGCGAAGGCGCCUUUCUGGACUGUGUCUGACGCUGAGAUGCGAAAGCCAGGGUAGCGAACGGGAUUAGAUACCCCGGUAGUCCUGGCCGUAAACGAUGGGUACUAGGUGUAGGAGGUAUCGACCCCUUCUGUGCCGGAGUUAACGCAAUAAGUACCCCGCCUGGGGAGUACGGCCGCAAGGUUGCAACUCAAAGGAAUUGACGGA